rnacentral:sRNA from 1 species
CAACGAAAUUUGCCCUGCGGGCAAGUGAAAUGUGCCUACGGCACGUGAAAUACGCCUGCGGCGUGUGAAAUU